CUUGAACGAGCCCAGGUGCACCGGCCGGCCGGCGGGCCGGUCCUGGCCGUAGGUGGCGAUGAUGGCCUGCGCCUC
rnacentral:antisense_RNA from 1 species